AAAAGUGAAUCAGUCACGUGUUGCUGCUGAGUAUGGGGAAGCUCCAACCAUUCAUGAAAUUAAAUCCUGUCAUUCAAGUUCCACAUCUCACGCCAGCUACUCUCUGAUGCUUUCCCCAACUUCUUCAGCAGCAGGACAAUCAAUGUCUACACCAAAGAAGCAUUCCUGAUUACCCUGAAUAAUGUGCAUAAUUCAAGACUAAUUUUCCCAUGUGAACCAAAGAGAUGACAAGUACUUCUACUUAUCAGUUAAAGUGGGACUACCACAUGGUAAUAACAUAAAGAGAAUUUAUAAUUUACUUCAUCUUCAUACCUUGAAAAUAUGUAAUGGCUAACAAAUUUUAAACAUUAUGAGAGAGAUAUCUUAUUUUGAAAACUAUGCAUAAAAAGACGCUUGGAAUACCUCUGUUUGUUCAUAACCAGCUGAGCUAUGAUCUAACUGAAGAAUAUUCAGGAUUAUAAGCAUAAGAGACCGCGGUCCCAGCUGCUCUCCUUGCUUCCUGUUGUAAAGACUAAGUAAGCAAACAAGCGAAUAAAUUUAUGAAUGAAUCUACACAGACUGAAGAAAACGGAGGAAUUUUAGAGGAAAGACCUGAAAAGGAAUCCAAAUACAUCUCAAGAAAUUUAAAAAUUUCUGUCUUUACUGAAUGUUUACCUUCAAGAAUUUACAAAAAAGAACAUACAAAAUAUAUUAGUGGGACUGUAGAAAGAGGACAAUGCGUUAAUCAUGAAGAUGUGAGAUAAAUAAAAUAGUGGCUGUUUUCUACUCUGAACAAAAGCCUUACUAUUUUAAAGGCAAAGUAUUUGCCCUUAACUUCUACUCUAAGAACAAGGAGACAACUUUCACAGAGACUCACAGAUUCAAAGAGCGUGAAGAUACAUAAUGAAUCGCUAUGGAAUCAGAAUUAGGAGAUCAAGAAGAUUGUUCUCCUAAUUUCCUCACAGGAUGCAGCUCACUUUCUGAUUUCUUUGGGUGCUGCUUACCUUCCGCAUGGCAUCUGUAAUUUUUCUUCGAUAAAGUGAAAUGAAC
rnacentral:lncRNA from 1 species